rfam:Schistosoma mattheei strain Denwood, Zambia genome assembly, scaffold: SMTD_scaffold0000654
GCACUGCUGAGGAGUUCCAUACUAGAACGAAAUGGCCAUCCAGUGC